rnacentral:rRNA from 1 species
UACAUGGGGUGCAAACGUUGCUCGGAAUUAUUGGGCGUAAAGCGCACGUAGGUGGUCGCUUAAGUCGGAUGUGAAAGCCCUCGGCUCAACUGAGGAAGUGCAUCCGAAACUGAGUGGCUAGAGUAUGGAAGAGGGUCGCGGAAUUCCCGGUGUAGAGGUGAAAUUCGUAGAUAUCGGGAGGAACACCGGUGGCGAAGGCGGCGACCUGGGCCAAUACUGACACUGAGGUGUGAAAGCGUGGGGAGCAAACAGG